rnacentral:lncRNA from 1 species
UUUCUCUAAAAUGACUGGCAACUUCCAACAGUUUCCUUGGCGCAGGCACAGAGAAGACUGGGUCUUUAGCAGUGUGCCUGAAACAGUGGAAGCUCAACACAGGCAGAGUUAUGAAGAAAACGGAGAACAAAAUGUAUACCUGUCAAUGAGUCCUGCAGAAUUCUACCCUCCAAAAUCUUAGGUGUUUUGAAUCUCAAUUAUGUAAGCGAUGGAAAAUAAUUCAUGUUUCUCACUGGAAGGCCCAAAGUUUAAAGAACAGUGAGUAACCUUUUGAAUUGUGCAUAGAUAAUUA